rnacentral:rRNA from 1 species
CUACGGGGCGCAGCAGUUAGGAAUAAUCUACAAUGCACGCAAGUGUGAUAGUUUGAGCCAGAGUGCGUUCCUAUAAUUGGAAUGCUUUUGCUAAAUGUAAAAAGUUUGGCGAAUAAGGACUGGGUAAGACAGGUGCCAGCCGCCGCGGUAAUACCUGCGGUCCAAGUCGCAGCCAUUUUUAUUGGGUCUAAAACAUCCGUAGCUUGCUUUGUAAGUUUCCUGUGAAAUCUGGUGUCUUAGGUGCCAGGCGUGCAGGAAGUACUAUCAAGCUAGAGACUGGAAGACGGAAGGAGUGUGUUCAAAGUAGUGGUGAAAUACUUUAAUCUUGGACAGACUAACAAUAGCGAAGGCACCUUCCGAGGACAGUUCUGACAGUAAGGGAUGAAGGCCAGGGGCGCAAAACGGAUUAGAUACCCUGGUAGUC